ACAACUGUGUUUAAGACAAGCAAGAUGAAGACUGGUUUUCAUUAGAAUAGCAAGGUUACUCUGGCAUCUCUUGGCCCUGGAAUUGUGGGCAGGAAAUAAUCUCCACAGGCCAGGAUCAGGUUACAAAACGAUUCUUUUACCAGGCAGUGAAUGUCUCAGGCUGUGACCAAAGAUUUUUUCCUCAGUUUUACGAAGCAAUGUGUUCAUCAACAGAAGAUACUGUGUUCACGAUUUCUGAAGGGAAAUCACUGACUGUUUCACCUCAGAACAAAUAUGUGAAGUUCCUGUAAAAGUUGCUGCUUUUGGACAUUUUUUCUUCUCCUUACAACACAGCUUUCUCAGAAGUUCUCUUUGGAUGCCAUGUUUUGUGGCUUGCAUCAAAAGAGGAGUUUGUCUUCAUGAAGAUUCCUAACAUUGGUAAUGUGAUGAAUAAAUUUGAGAUCCUUGGGGUUGUAGGUGAAGGAGCCUAUGGAGUUGUACUUAAAUGCAGACACAAAGAAACGCAUGAAAUUGUGGCGAUCAAGAAAUUCAAGGACAGCGAAGAAAAUGAAGAAGUCAAGGAAACGACUUUACGAGAGCUUAAGAUGCUCCGCACCCUCAAGCAAGAAAACAUUGUGGAACUGAAAGAAGCCUUUCGUCGCAGGGGGAAACUGUACUUGGUGUUCGAAUAUGUUGAAAAGAAUAUGCUUGAAUUAUUGGAAGAAAUGCCAAAUGGAGUUCCACCUGAUAAAGUGAAAAGUUAUAUCUACCAAUUAAUCAAAGCUAUUCACUGGUGCCAUAAGAACGAUAUCGUACACCGGGAUAUAAAACCAGAAAAUCUCUUAAUCAGCCACAAUGAUGUUUUGAAACUGUGUGACUUUGGUUUUGCUCGGAAUCUAUCAGAAGGCAAUAAUGCUAAUUAUACAGAGUAUGUGGCCACGAGGUGGUAUCGUUCCCCAGAACUCUUACUUGGCGCUCCCUAUGGCAAGUCUGUAGAUAUGUGGUCCGUGGGCUGUAUUCUUGGGGAGCUAAGCGAUGGGCAGCCUUUGUUUCCUGGAGAAAGUGAAAUUGAUCAACUUUUUACCAUUCAGAAGGUGCUAGGACCUCUCCCGUCUGAGCAGAUGAAGCUCUUCUACAGUAAUCCUCGAUUCCAUGGGCUCCGGUUUCCAGCCGUGAACCAUCCUCAAUCACUGGAGAGACGAUACCUUGGAAUUUUAAAUAGUGUAUUACUUGAUCUAAUGAAGAAUUUACUGAAGUUGGACCCAGCUGACAGAUACUUGACAGAGCAAUGUUUGAAUCACCCUUCAUUCCAGUCUCAGAGGCUCUUGGAUCGCUCACCUUCAAGGUCAACGAAAAGAAAACCUUACCACGUGGAAAGCAGCACAUUGUCUAAUAGAAGCCAGGCCAGCAAAAGCACUGCUCUGCAGUCUCACCAUAGAUCCAACAGCAAGGACAUCCAGAACAUGAGUGUGGGCCUACCUCGCACUGACGAAGGGCUGCCUGCCAACGAAAGCUUCCUCAAUGGCAACCUGGCUGGGGCCACUCUGAGCCCUAUGCACACCAAGACCUACCAAGCCAGCAGCCAGCCCGGGGCCGGCAGCAAGGACCUCACCAACAACAACAUACCGCACCUUCUCAGCCCCAAAGAAGCCAAGUCUAAGACAGAGUUCGACUUCAAUAUCGACCCCAAGCCGGCAGAGGGCCCGGGCACGAAGUACCUCAAGUCUAGCAGCAGGUCACAGCAGAACCGGCACUCAUUCAUGGAAAGCUCGCAGAGCAAGGCCGGCACGCUGCAGCCCAGCGAGAAGCAGAGCCGCCAUAGCUACAUCGACACCAUCCCCCAGUCCUCCCGGAGCCCCUCCUACAGGACCAAGGCCAAGAGCCACGGUGCGCUGAGUGACUCCAAGUCUGUGAGCAACCUCUCUGAAGCCCGGGCCCAGAUCACUGACACCAGCACGAGCCGCUACUUCCCAUCCAGCUGCCUGGACUUGAACUCACCCACCAGUCCUACCCCAGCCCGACACGGUGACACACGAACUCUGCUCAGCCCUUCGGGCAGAACCAACCGCAGCGAGGGCACGCUGGACUCCCGCCGCACAGCCACCAGGCACUCCAAGACCAUGGAGGAGCUGAAGCUGCCCGAGCACAUAGAAGGCAGCCAUUCCCACUCGCUGUCUGCACCCCACGAGUCCUUCUCGUAUGGGCUGGGCUACACGAGCCCCUUCUCUUCCCAGCAGCGUCCGCAUAGGCAUUCCAUGUACGUGACCCGGGACAAAGUGAGAGCCAAAGGCCUGGAUGGAAGCCUGAGCGUAGGGCAGGGGAUGGCAGCCAGAGCCAACAGCCUGCAGCUCCUGUCACCUCAGCCUGGAGAGCAGCUGCCUCCAGAGAUGACUGUGGCCCGAUCUUCUGUGAAGGAGCCUUCCAGAGAAGGCACCUCAUCAUUCCACGCCCGGCAGAAGUCUGAGGGUGGAGCGUAUCAUGACCCCCACUCUGAUGAUGGCACUGCCCCCAAAGAAAACAGACAUCUGUACAACGACCCUGUUCCCAGAAGAGUUGGCAGCUUCUACCGAGUGCCAUCUCCACGUCCUGACAAUUCUUUCCAUGAAAAUAAUGUGUCAACCCGAGUUUCUUCCUUACCAUCUGAAAACAGUUCUGGAAGUAACCAUUCAAAAAGACAGUCAGCAUUUGAUCCAUGGAAAAGUCCUGAAAACAUUAGUCAUUCCGAACAACUCAAGGAAAAGGAAAAACAAGGUUUUUUCAGGUCAAUGAAAAAGAAGAAGAAGAAAUCUCAAACAGUGCCCAAUUCUGAUGGCCCUGACCUCCUGACAUUACAGAAAGCCAUUCACACAGCGAGCACCCCCAGCAGCCGACCCAAGGAGUGGCGUCCUGAGAAGAUCCCUGAUCUGCAAACCCAGAGCCAGCCGUUAAAAUCCCUGCGCAAGCUGUUACAUCUCUCAUCAACCUCCAGUCACCCAGCCGGGGCCGCAGACCCCCGCUUCCAGCCCUUACCAACUCAGCAAGCCAAAAACUCCUUCUCGGAAAUUCGGAUCCACCCCCUGAGCCAGGCGGCGGGUGGUGGCAGCAACAUCCGACAGGAUCCUCCGCCCAAGAACAGGCCAGCCCUCCAGCUGCCAGGUCAGAUAGAGCCUGGCUGGCAUGUGUCCUCCGUGACCCGCGGUGCCACUGAGGGCCCUUCCUACUCUGAACAGCUGGGCGCCAAGAGCGGGCCAAACGGGCACCCUUAUAACAGAACAAAUCGGUCCCGAAUGCCAAAUCUGAAUGAUUUGAAAGAGACAGCCUUGUAAUGUGUGCUGGGGGUGGGGGUGGGUGGGUGGAGGGACUCAAGGGGGAGGGGGAGGGGCUGCUGGGGGCAGGGCCAGGGAGGGGAAGGGGAGCCAGUCUUUUCAGCUUUAUGAAGGUGUGUGCAAUAUUGUAUGUGGGGAGGGGGGGCCUUGGGCCUCCUCACAGCCGCAAAUGCCAGUCAGGGAUCUUAGAGCCACAGGAGUUCUUUAGGGGCACUGUCCCCACAGGUCUUGCAUGACAAUGGCUAGAGUGCCCUUGAGGAAGAUGAAGUUCUUGCCAGUUUCUCCACCCCACAACCCCCCAUUCCAGCUUUAGUGCAGUCCCGCGGAAGUCAGGAACACUGGCACUUACAAGGGAUAGAGAAAAAAAAAAUAUAUAUAUAUAUAUAUAUAUCCGUGUUGACCGAUGCCCUUACUCCAGCUUUUUGUCUGCCUAGACUAAAACGUGGGGUGGACUGUAAUCCAAGAGUAUCCCUCUGAAGGGUUAGCAGAUGAACUAACUGUAUGUCUUAAAUUGUUUUCUAAACUUCCAUAUUUGAUAGGAUUUGUAACAUUUAUUUAUAAUUAAUUAAUAUUGUACUGUUCGGAUCAUACCUUUCUGUUCAAUGUAAAAUUAUUUUGAGCUGUUUGGAACAUUGUGAAGCAGUGGGACAGCUACAGUAGUUUCUAUAAAAACUAAACAGUAACAUUUAUAUAUUGCAUCAGGAGUAUUUUAUUCUAUAUACAAAUAUAUAUAUAUAUAUAUGGUAAAUAUCUGUCUGUUUUAUAAAUAUAAUCAUUUAAAGAAAGUAUUGUUCUGACACUAUCUGCCAUAUUUUUAUACAUUUGUGAUAUGAAGUGAGUAUUAUACUUCGAGUCAAGGGAGAGUCAUGGCUAAAUGUGACUGGAAUGAUAGGAACCUUGCUCAACCAGUAGGCCCCGGCAGUAGCCUCAAGGCAUGAUCCUUGGUAGUGAGAAGCAGCAGCGCCUCCCAGACCCCCGGGGGAAGCAAGUGGGCUGGGCCAAUGACCGCCCCAAUGGCCUUGACCCUGCCCCACAUGGCCGGCUGCCAUUCACAGCCAGGGCCAUUCCUGGUACCUGGUACCCGAGGGGAGAACAGACCCAGAAUGGCCCGUGGGUCUUCAGGGAGAGGGAGCAUGUGCUCUUCACCUCUGUGUGAAUGAAGAGUGUAGACCAAAGAUUUGCCAGCAAAUAUUCCUAGUUUCAGGGUCACACGGGGCCCCUGUCUGCAGAUCUUGCAUACCAGCUCAAGGUUCCUGAAUCCUGAGUCCCGGUCCAGAGACUCUUGGCUGGUGGAACGUGAGAUGCACGUAUGGCACUUGUAGUUUCUAGAUGCUUUUUUGUUAUCGCGCUUUCCAGUUGUUGGAAAGGCUCCUGCAGCAAUUCCAGACCCAGAGCAAAUUGCUGUGCCCGUGUUUUCCUUCCUGGGACUGUCCAUUUAGAAUAGGGUCCUCAUAUACUGCUCGCCACACACAAUCAGAAGAGUACUUCCCUUGCCCUCAUUUGAUCACCUGCAACCCCCAAGUGUCUCCCAAAUGUCAUCAAGGACAUUGGCCACGGGGUCUCUAGGCCACUCUUGACAGAGAGCACUGCUAUACCAUCAUCCAUCAAGGGUAGCAUUCGAUUUUUAGAAAUAGUUUCUUAGCAAUAACACUUGUCAAGCUCCCCACCCACCCGUCCAAGAAGAAGCUCCUCGCAUUUCAUACCUGUCCCAGGAUGCUGCCAACCCUGCACCAAGUCAGCUGUGGCUGAAAUGUGCUGCGUCAUGUCCCCCUCCUGCCCCCAAGAUUUUGAGAAUCAUAGCUCUGAUGAUUAUAAACAUUAUACAGAAGAAGAAGGAAAAAAAAAAGAAAACCUCUUAGUUUCUUUGAAGCUUAAACUGUGUGCGUACUGCAUUUUUAUAUAACUGCUAUAAUGAUGUGUAUUGAUUCUAUAUAUAGAGGUCAUUUUAAGGUGCUUUUUAUUUAAUUUCAAGUGUAAUAGGCACUAAAAUGAAACUCAACUGGGUACUAUCAUUGAGACAGUUUGAUUCAAACCACUAGUUUGCAUGCUCUUCGGUUCCUUUUCUAUCUUCUCUCUUUCCCCCUUUCUGUACUGUUGGAGUGGCUCUGGAUUCCGGCUUUUCUCAGAAGCUGCUCAGUUACAUCAAUGACGUGGACCUUUAGCAGUUUUUGCCUGGAUACUAAUGACUCUACAAGGGUGUGUAACUCUUCUUUUUCAUACUGGAUCUGUACCUUGUAUUCCCCCUUGCAAACCAGAAACUACGUAUUUUUUUCCUCGGGAAAGACUUCUCACUGUGCUGUGCGCUUAGGAACUGCGCAGUCACAUUGCCGUGCUAUGGCAUUUGAGGCUCGUUGUCACCUAGGGGCUGAUGUCCCAUGUUUUCCUCCUUGCUAACACUGGGAUCUCAGAUGUUUGCAGAACAUUUCUAUCCAUGAUGGUUCUUCAAAAGAAGGGCUAGCAUAAAUUGCCUUCUACCUAAAGCAAAGUAAACCUAACAUGAUGAAGAGUCCACAGGGACUUUUUGUACAUUCCCAGAUUUGAGCCAGAAAAUACCUACAACAUUUUCAAGUAAUGUUUUCGAGGUAGCUCUUUUCUCAGCGUUCAUCCAUGCUGACUUUAUUGCCCUCUGUAAGGUAUACGUGAACUACAAUCCGCAUUUCUAGCAUGUGAUGUUUUUCUGCUCACAGAGGCGAACGAAUGUUCUAGGGUUCUCAAAUCAGAUGGGCCCUCUCUUAGCUUUCAACUGUUGUUUUCCUCGGGCUGAUAAAUUGUUGGCUUCACUAAGGUCACCACCUGUAACAGGAACUUGUUUUAAAGGCACAAAAGGCUGUCUUUUUCUUUAGGAAGUGGAAUUCAUGACAGCCGCAAUCUAUCUUCCUAAAAGAUAGAUAGAAGAAAAGAACUUGUUUUAAAGGCACAAAGGGCUGCCUUUUUCUUUAGGAAGUGAAAUUCAUGACACCCGCGAUCUACCUUCCUAAAAGAUAGAAAGGUCGAGGCAGAAAGAAAGGAAGGUCGGCUUAUGGUGUACUUUGCUUUAAGGCAGUACCACUGCUCUCCUUUGGAAAAGAAACUCUUGACUAAUUUUCUGCUUUCACUUGACCACCAUCCUCCGUUUUCUUCUCAGUAGGAGUUCUAAGUGAACUGUUACUAAACUUUGUGUGGUCUUGAGCUGAGAUCUUAGCCUCUCUCCAGAGCCCAAGCCCAAGUGUUUCUCGCUCGGGGGCUGGGGAGCUGUCUCUGUCACAAAGAGAAUGUUAGCAAUGUCACAAUGGGGGGCGGGAGCAGGCAAGGCUUCUGGUGGGCAGAGACAUCUGCCCAGAAGACACUCCCCACCCUAAGUAAAGACCAACGCAGCCCCACAGAGCUCGCCAAGCUCUUUUCUUUCCAGGCUACCGAACGGCAACUGGCAGUUCUUCCUCACUGCAUGCUCUAAAAGAAUCUGCUCCAGUGCUGCUUGAAUCUCUGCCGUCCUGUUUUGCGUUCCCAUUGUCUUGGACCUGCUAAAAGGGGCCGCAGACAGAGUCCUGAUAGAACCCCCAGGGCCAGAACCUCGCAAGCAGUUUCGGUCAGAGACACCGAGGACCACCUUGCAAAACAAAACCUCGUAAGUGGUUCUAAUUUCUUACUUUUGCACCUUGACCCACUGAGAUAGAGACAAUCCUGAGAUCUCCUUCAGCUGGGCCAAGCAUUGUAUCUUAGAAGCCAUGAGUAAAAUGCAAUGCAAGAUGACAAAGUCAUGACUGACGAGUUCCCCGUCUGUCUGUAUAAUACACACCCUGUGGCAAAAGUGAGGUGGCUGGAAAGCUCUGGCCUGUUGCCCUAUCCUAUUCUUUCUUCUUUUUUAAUUGAACGUACUAUAAAUGAUCGUAGACUUUCGUGCCAAAUCAAUGACUGUGAAUCCUCAUCUCUUAUCGUGCUGUGUUCGUUCACCGCUCAGCGUUAGGCCUGGUCCUGACUCUAACUUUAUCCUCUCCAGGCACCUCUGUGUUUGCCCCGUAGAGAUUCGAUGUGUAUUUUCACUCAUUGACUGUUCACUCCCAACUUUGAGGGAGCUAUGUCUUUUUUUUUUUUCCCAGGGGAAAAAAAAAAGAAAGUUUUAACAGUCUGCACGUCAAUUUUCUAGGGUCAGCAGAAUUGUGGCGGUGCAACUGGUUUCAUUUAUUUCUAAGGCCCUUCAGUACCCAUGAGGUUUAGUGAGCUCUCAGAACCCCAUCUGAUCCUUGGGUCUUAUUUUGAUCCUCGGUUCCUAUUUUGAUCCUCCUUUGGAAUCUUAACAAAAAAAAAAAAAAAAAAAAAAUUGGUCUCCAUGUUGUAUGCAGAUUAGAAGUUGCCUUGUUCGCUACUCUUCCAGCACAGAGUGUCAGGGAGAAAGAGGCCUUAUCUGUUCUUCUAUCCCUUCUGUGUUUGACAGACUGCUAAGAAUUCCUCAGGACUUCUUUUGGUUUGGGAUUUUACUUUCCCAAAAGCCUAUCCCAGUUUGUUUCAGGCGUAGACAAGCUUGUCCUAGUGCUCUGUUUCAGGGUAAAUCGGACAAAACCCAGGAAUAGCAAAGGUAGAUGCCUUGACUUUUGUCCCUGUUGGGGCAUGAAAAUGUUUAUCGCUUGAGUUUUGUCGAAAGUCCUAGUUACCAAACACUCAAGAGUUUCCAGGAGAGAAAGCCAGAAUGAUGCUUUCCCCUCUGGAGAACUUCAAAGUCCUCCACCACGGCUUAGAUUUUCCAAAAUGGAAAGCAUUAACAAAAAAAAAAAAAAAGCCUGUGUGAAAUCCAUUUUCACCAGAGCGAAACACUCAAUUCCAGUCAUCCCACAGUCUACUUCCUUCUCUGUGUUUCCUCUUUGGUCACUGAGUCAGGCUGGAGGGGUGAUGCUGUGAUUGCAAACCAGUCAGUUCUCAUUGUUAACUCUUGGAUUGACUAACAAACAGUUAAACCAAACAAAAUAGUUACCCCUACCUAACUCCUAUCUCCAAGAAUUACUUUGUGCCAUUUUGAAUUCAGGUAGUUGUUAUUCUGUAUAUACUUAGAAAACCUAUUCUGAUCUUCUUCAAUCUCUAGUAAGUUUGAAGGGGAUGUUUGGAAAGACACGGAGCAGGGUGACUUUGAGACCGUGCUUAUGCACGAAAACAAAACUAUGAUAAGCCAGAGUGCUGUAACAUCCAAAUUUGUGGUAGUUGAAGAGUCAGUAGACAUUCUUAAUUUCACAGACUUUAUAAUCCAUAAUACCAAGUGUAAUUCCAUACUUUUUACUGUGGCAAGGAUGUGACAUAGUGUUAACCUUUUUAAUUUUUGAAUCCAAACUAACUUUAAAGUGUUGAAUAUUCAAAUUCUUCACAAGCUAAUUAUGAACCAUUUGUAAAGUGUUUAUAUAACUUUGUAUCAUGUGUUGGUACAUCUUAAUCAAGUUUUUUCUGGCAUGUAUUCCAUUCUAAACUUCUGUACAAAUUUCUAUCGUUGCUGUAAAUACUAUACAAAAUAUCUAUUCCGUGUAACCUUAAUUAUCAGCAUGAAAUGGUUAAUUUUUACUGAGCACAAUGUAUUUUUGAAUGGAUCUUCCCAGAUGUCUUUAAUAAAAUGCAGAUUUUGCACUGA